rnacentral:rRNA from 1 species
UACGUAUGUCGCAAGCGUUAUCCGGAAUUAUUGGGCAUAAAGGGCAUCUAGGCGGCCAGGCAAGUCUGGGGUGAAAACUUGCGGCUCAACCGCAAGCCUGCCCUGGAAACUGCCUGGCUAGAGUGCUGGAGAGGUGGACGGAACUGCACGAGUAGAGGUGAAAUUCGUAGAUAUGUGCAGGAAUGCCGAUGAUGAAGAUAGUUCACUGGACGGCAACUGACGCUGAAGUGCGAAAGCCGGGGGAGCGAACAGG